UCUCAGCCCCGACAGAAAGGAAAAUCCUUUUGCUUUUUUCCUUAAAAAGUAAAAGAUUGAACGGAUAGCAGGAUUUUAC
rnacentral:sRNA from 1 species